rnacentral:ncRNA from 1 species
UUUACUUGGGGAGCUCAUAAGGGCUGAGAGGGUAUAAAACCGACCCAUAAAACCUGAACUAGAUAAUUCUAGCGGAGGGAAGAUUGAAAA